ensembl:lncRNA
GUCAUAGCUCAUAGCUCUACUUGUGGACCACUGGAAAAGUCUGUGGAAACAUUUAGAAAGGCGGGACGAAAACAGUUUAAUAGUCCACCACUUCAACCUGAAAGUCAGUCAAGCUGUGUCAACUGAAGUUGCCUUGUCCUGUGCAAUCUCCUCGAGUGAAGCUGAGAAAACAAUCAGGAACGAGAAAGGCAUCAAGAUGGCAGUAAGUAGCUGUAUAUACUAAGUCAUGUAUUAGUAGCUUCUUAUGUUUGAUGGUGAACGUUGUGAAGUAAAGUAAGCAAUUUGUAUCUAUUUAGCACCUUUAAUAAAAUAAUCACAAAGUGCGACCCAACGUAAAAGUACAGAACUGUAAAUACCUGUGUUAGGUGGUGAUCAGUCACCUGCCUGACCACAUUUGUUGUAAAAUGACAUUUUGAACUUCGUAAUAAAUCCGUUAAAGUUACACUAUGAAGAUAAAAUUAUUUUAUGAUUUAAUAUUUCCAUGACUAAACAGUUCAACUUAGGUUUUAUUUAUGUAAGAUAGCAUUGUUACAGUAUUAGAAAGAACAACAGUCCAUCUCCCUCAAACCACAAAUGACCUAAGUAAAGAGUUUAUAGAAUAAUAUUAAAGAUGACUAAAUUGCUUUUCAAUAUUCAGUCUUUUAUAGUAAGUAGCUGUGGGUAUGCGAGUACUCAGUACUCAUACAGCCUUGCAGCACACAUAUAUAGUGAGUGUUUUGUGUGUCAUUAUUAGUAAUUAUCAGUCUGCAUGUUAUAUUAAUGAUGCUCCUGUAUAUUGUUUAUAAGAGCGAUGGAGACACAGCUGCCCCUCCAUUUAAUGGCAAUGUUGACCAGACCGAUAAGGAAGACUCAAGCCAAGACGAAACAGAGGAACAAACUGUAGAAGCUUUAAAAGAACAGCUUCGUAAAAAAGAGAGAGAGAACCAGGAGUUGAGAGAUGAGCUCUCAAGGUCAACCCAAGGGCAAAAUCAUGUCCCCUCACAACCAGUACAGCAGGUCCAGAAUUAUAUCCUCAUCAUUAUUGACUCCACUGGAAAAUUCAUAAAUGAGAAGAAACUCUUCCCUAGGGACAAAGUGGUUAAACGCGUCUGCAAAGAUACUCAACAAGCCAUGGAAGUUCUGUCAGAUCAGCAACUGGGAAGCCCGACCCACAUCAUCAUCCACACAGGCUCCAGUGAGGUGAGGGCAGAUCCGGACAGGUUGUCAAAAUCUCUCAAAGAAGUCAUAUCGAAAGCUUCCACCAAUUUCCCCAACAGCACAGUGGUCAUAUCAGCCCUACUUCCAAUGAAAAACAUGGACACUGACACCAUCAAGGAGAUCAACAUCAAACUCAAAAAGGAGUGUGAAAACUUCAAUGUCCACCUUGCCACACACCCUGACCUAGAUGUAACUUGUCUUCAUGAUGAAGGCUAUCUGUUAAAACACAAAGUCCACAUCUUUGCCAAGAAAUUGAAAGACGUGGCUCUCAAUAGAGACACAUCCAGAUUCGAAAGAAAUGCCCAGGGAAGUAGCAGCUCAACAAAGAAUUUUACUUUUAAUUUUAAUUGCUACUAAGACCUAGUUGUAAUUUGCUACUGUAUAUCAGCCUUGGUACAGAGUCAUUCAAAGAAAUUUAAAUAGUGACCUUCACACUUUGUGAAUAAAUUUGUGUUUAUAAAUAAAAUUAGAGGGGUAACAAAUAUGAUUUAUUUUUGUUCUGUAAUUACAUUUAUCCACUUAAAAUCUUGCUUGAAUUACGUUACCAUAUAUGUUUAACAUUAUAAUCCACUAUGAUGUAUUGAAGUUAGUCAUUGAAAGUUAUAGAUUGCGUACUGACAGGAGCCACAUGCUGGAAACAAACUUCCAUAACAAAGUUUUUCAUCAUCAAAUAAAAUCCACCAAUAACAAAAUCCAGGAAAAAAGAAAUGCCUACAGGAAGUUUAAAAAGGAGCACAUGCAGACACCACAAACACAACAACAUGGACCUAGGCUGUAAACACACAGAUAAGACAUGAGGGAUGAAAUACAGAUGAGAUUAAUUCUCAGCUGAUGGAAAGACUCAGGGAAUGACAGACAUGAAAUAAAAGUAACACAAGACAUCACGGAAAACUAACCUCCAGAGUAAAACAGGAAACAACUAGAGAAGACCACUAACCUGAACACCUGACAACAAAUAACAAAUAACAAAUAAUAAACCAGAAUAAAAGUUUCAAGGAAGAGAUCAAACACUAUACAAAGGAAAUCCCAGAGGCUAAAAGUAACAGAAGCAAAGACAAACACAAGAAACCAAUUCUGAUUAACAAACAGUAACUGACUGGACUGCUAAAGAGAAGAAGCUCAUAAACUCUGGAUCUGAGAUCCAUGAUCUGGAAAAUGGGAUUGUUUUUGCUGUUAUCGUGGAUUUUAGGCUCAGUACUUGUUUCAUUUUAAGUUUCCUUGGCUUUCAUUCUAAACACAGAACCGCCCCACUUCCUUUGUAACAUGAGUUUUUAAUGUAGUUACACCAGAACUUUUCCUCUGUUUCAUAAAGGAAGGUUACAAUUAUUGGGUCUAAGACACUUUUACAUUUUUUAAUUGCCUUAAUUAUAUUUUGAUUUAUAUUCUGUCUUGAUGUGGGACAAAAUUAAUCCAAUUUCAUGUAAAAGACAAAGGCAAUUACAAGUCACAACUAAGCAGUUUAUUUUGUAAAUAAUUUCAACGAUGGUGAAGGAACAUGAUAAAUACACCAGUCUCUUGUACUUCUGUGUAUUAAAAAAAACAAGUUAAUUGGAGUGAAGAGAAUAAAUGGAUGUUUGUUUUAUAGGUUUUGAUUUUAUGAAAAAUACUUUGUUGUGAUAAAAGCAGAGCACUGUGGCAAAUGAACCUGCAACAGAAAGAUUAAUAGCUGCAAAAGAUUUAAUUUUGUGUGUUUCUGUAUGAAAUAUUUAAAUAUUACAAAUCUACAAACCAAGUAUCUGAUUUUGUUUGAAAUGUAACCAUUAAAGUAAUAAUGUUGGAAAAAAACAACAUGCCUAUGACUCGUUAUGCUUUGUUACUGAUCGAAGUAUCGCAGAGGCACAAGUUCUUUGAUUGUUUAGUGUUAAGUUGGUACCAGCAUAUUGUAAUAGAAAAGGUAUUUAAGGAUGCAUUAAGUUUUAAAAUGAAGAAAAUAAAGAAGAAAACGUAAAACAUGAGAAAACAUUAAAUUAUGUUUGAGAUAAAGAAAACAGUGUUUGAUUGAAAACUUAUAAAUUAAAUUACAAAUGCAUACAAUGCCAUUUGUUCAGUUGGAUGUUCAGUAAUAAUAUAUAACCCGCACACGGAUUAACCUUAUGUUCUACCAUUUGGAAACCACUGGUUUAAACUCACUGUUGAAGGUACUGUUCCCCCCAGUUAACUUCUCUUAACUAUACAUUUUUAUUCAGUUCUUUUUGUAUUGUAUAACUAUGUUAUGCCGCAUCAGUUUUAAGGAGUUAUAUACAUAUACAUAUAUAUAUAUACGUAUAUAUAUAUGUAUAUAUACAUAUAUAUAUAUA